rnacentral:rRNA from 1 species
UACGUAGGGGGGCUAGCGUUGUCCGGAAUCAUUGGGCGUAAAGCGCGUGUAGGCGGCCCGGUAAGUCCGCUGUGAAAGUCGGGGGCUCAACCCUCGAAUGCCGGUGGAUACUGUCGGGCUCGAGUGCGGAAGAGGCGAGUGGAAUUCCUGGUGUAGCGGUGAAAUGCGCAGAUAUCAGGAGGAACACCGAUUGCGAAGGCAGCUCGCUGGGACGUUACUGACGCUGAGACGCGAAAGCGUGGGGAGCAAACAGG